GCACUCCUUCCGGUCCGCCGGAUUAUGAAUGGCGUUGGGCGGGGGACGCGCAGACACGUUGUCUCUUCCUUCUUUUUGCCCCCUUUCCCCUGCUCAGGGCCUCGCUGGGAGGCGAGUGCUCCUCCUCAGGCCGCGGCUUCCAGAAGUAGCCUCGGAGUCCCGGCUCGAGCUGGGCGGGAAGGCGCGGUGGCCCGCGUCGUCGCCCGCAUGCUCCCGCGCCCUCCCUGCCUGGCCGCGCCCCUGCGACCAGGUGACCCAAUGACAACAGAAGAUGAAAGGCAUUAAGAAAAGUCCUACGGAGGAAUCUCUGUACCUGGAGUACUCUCACCAAACAGAAGGCUGCAUCUUUCCUCUCCACACGUCUGUAACUUUGUUUUUACUAUCAUACUGUGAAUGCAAGGUCUUUAACGUUUGCUUAGUCCUCACUGAAGAAAGUACAGAUACUUCAGACACUUCGUUCCUAAAAGAGGCACUGCCCCAGGACCUGGAAAUACAGGUUAUUUCAAAGCAGGCGCUCCCUCCGAUUGUCCAGAAUUGCUGUUUGCCUGCAGUGGUAGAUCAACCUGACGUUUUCUGUAGGGCAGGCCUUGCUGUUGUCCUGAGACACAUAAUCCAAAAAUCCUAUGAAGCUGAGCCCUCAAGAAAGGAAAUUUUGGAACUUCUGGGUUUUAAAAAGACUUGUUUGAAAGCUUGUGCUGAAGUUAGUCAGUGGACCAGGCUAUGUGAACUCACCAUCCCUUUGGCUGUUGAGAAUUUUCUCCAAGAGUCCUCUGAGCAUCCCCCAACUAUCCCUGAAGAAAUCCUAGAGCUCGAGAGGAAGCUCAGUGAGCCUGUCAGAGUACACAAUGAUGACAAACUCCGAAGACAGAAGCUGAAGCAACAGAAGGCUGCUGGCAGUGAGCCUCCCUCCGGGAAGGGGAAAGCAAAGAGCAAGGCAAGUGCACAGAAGACACCCAAAGACUUGGCUGCUCCCUCCAAGAGUCUGGAACUGAAGGUGGCGUUCUCAAAGCUCACAGUGCAAGAAGAUGCAGCUGCUAGCAACAGGGAGCCUUCUCACAUCAGGAAAGCAAAAGCCGCCGACCUCCCGCCUCUGGAGCACGUGUUUGCAGAAGGACUGUACUUCACUUUGGCAGACAUCGUGCUUUUGCCCUGUAUUCACCACUUUUUGGUAAUUAUCUGCAAGAAAUUUUCAGAGAAGCUGGAACAGUUUCCACUACUAACCUCUUGGUAUCAGAGGAUUCAGGAAGUGCCAAAAGUCAAAACAGCAGCUUCCAAGUGUGGGAUCUACUUUCUGUAUUUACCAGAAUUGCUGAACUCUGCAAGGAAACAGCCUGUGAAUUCUGAUGAAGUAGCAGCUGUAGAUGAGCAAAGUGACCCUUUAUUUAUAGGAGGACCAAGACCGACUAUGACCAAGUUGAUGGAAAAAGGCAUUGAAGCCAUGUUUUCUCCGCACCCUUGUCCUGCUUGGACCCUUGACUGGAGCAGUCUUCCUGCUGCCGUCAGCCCGAAGGAAGGUAAAAUGUCCACUGACCGAGCUCUGAGGAAACAGCAGCAGUUAAACAACCUUGUCUACCUGGUGCUGAAUCAAGCCAAACCUGGGGACAGAAUUGUGGAUUUCUGCAGUGGCGGGGGCCAUGUUGGAAUUGUCCUUGCCCACAUGCUGCCCUCGUGCCAGGUUACGUUAAUAGAGAACAAGGAAUUAUCAUUAAUCCGUGCUAAGAAGAGAAGUGACGAACUUGGUUUAAGCAAUAUUUGGUUCAUUCAAGCAAAUAUGGAGUAUUUCACAGGAAUGUUUAACAUUGGGCCUAACAGGCCUACAACUGAUGUCCAGUGUAGAGAUGAUAAAAUGUUUGAGAGAGCAGUAAUGUGUGAUACCGUGCUCACCUUUUCUCCUCACUGAUCCUGGUUGUUUAUCCUCUGGGGCUACAGGUGGCCUUGCACGCUUGUGGAGUGGCAACAGACAUGGUGAUCGAGCACUGCAUCCAAACACGGGCUUCCUUCAUCACAUGCCCCUGCUGUUACGGGUUCAUUCAGAACACAUCCAAGUUUAACUUCCCAAAAAGUGAAAAAUUCAAGAAAACUUUAUCAUACAAGGAACACAUGCUCCUCUGCAGAUUUGCCGAUCAGACAGCUGUCCAGCUCCCACCCGAGAGGAGACUCAUAGGGAAGCAGUGCAUGGGCCUGGUGGAUCUGGACCGAGCAGCAGCAGCAGGAGAACACGGCUACUCUGUUCAAGUGAUCUCUAUGGAGCCAGAGAGCUGCUCUCCCAAGAACAACAUGAUUGUGGGUGUCCCCUUGUAGACGGGCACUCAAACGUGAUGCUCUGCCAUUGGCUUCGUGAGGAGAGCCCGGGGCCGUCCAGGGAGCCUUUGCUGUGCUCCUGGAAGCAGCACUGAGCUGAGCAUGCUGGGCCGGCUGGGAAAGCUGCAGGAAGACCUUGGAAGAGGGAUGCUCCGCUGUGUGCGCAGAAGGAUGACAGGCUUCCAAGAGGGGAUUCCCCGAAGCCUUAGCCGCCAGAGUCGUUCUCAGUGGCCAAGAUUCCCUCCACAGAUCCAUUUCCUCCCACUUCCCUGAUGAUGUCAGUGGAAUAUUCAACCUGGGCUAUGACCUCACAGCCUUGACUUUAUAAUCUUUAGAUAUUCAUACUUGGUGACCAGAGCUAAACUCAAGGUAGUUGAGGUUUUAUAGUUUUAACAAUGUACCUUUUCUAUAGAUUUUUUUAAAGUCUAGAAUGGUAAAUUUAGUGUUUUUUUUUUAAAUCUGACAUUGGUUGAUCUGCAUAUCAUGUACUAUCCUCCUUUUAAAUAUAAAUAUAUGUCCCAUAAAUUAACAAAUAAGUUUACUGCUGGUUCAAAGAUUUCACCUAAAAAUUUAUAAGUCAAUUGCACUAAAUUACAUAUUCUAAAAGUGGAAUUUAGAUGUAAAUUUUAACUAAACAGUAAAUGUAUGCGUUGUUUAGUUCCGAGAUAUAACUAACAAAUGCUAGGGUCUAUUGUUCUCCAAACCCUGGCCUUGCUUUCUCUGAAAAUGCAAGAAUGAAUUACAUGAGGUACAUUGUUUUGCCCUCCAAGGGAGAUCUUCUAGAUCUAAAAGAGAAGACUUGGGUGGGGGGGGGGGGGGUCCAUUCUAUAAUCAUGCCAUCAUGUGUAGCCUUCUGUUUGGGUGUGAAGUGUGCAGACUCUGAAAAGCUCAUUUGGACAGUGCUGGCUGCCUAUGUUUUCUUUCCAGCAGCCAGCUUUUUAAAUUACGUGUACAGACAACUAUCGGCUGUGUGAUGCUAACUAUAAGCCUACAGUAUUAGCAUUAAGAUUAAUUAUUUUAUCUUGAUGUUUUCAUAUCUAAAGCAAAAUCUUAAGGAUUUUAUUUAUCUGCCACUAUGCUUUAAAAUGCAUGAAUAAUUUAAAAGGCAAUAUGGAGGGGGAAACUUUGUUAAUUUAUGAGAUGAUUUAAGAUGAGAGAUGGUCCUGAUACCUAUGUAUUUUAUCCACUGGUACUGUUAACUAUACCCUGCUUUGCUUCUUUUUUAAAUUGAGAUAUGCUUUGAUACAAUAUAAUACAUAGAUUUUUGUAUUCCUAUUUUAUUUAAUUGAAAAAAAACCUUUUCAUAUAGUAAACUGUCGUCAUGGCUCUCC